CAACUCUAUUCAGCCAUGCCGCGUGCAGGAAGACUACCCUAUGGGUUGUAAACUGCUUUUAUACAGAAAGAAAAUGACGGUACUGUACGAAUAAGGAUCGGCUAACUCCGUGCCAGCAGCCGCGGUAAUACGGAGGAUCCAAGCGUUAUCCGGAAUCAUUGGGUUUAAAGGGUCCGUAGGCGGUCUUUUAAGUCAGAGGUGAAAUCCUGCAGCUCAACUGUAGAAUUGCCUUUGAUACUGAAAGACUUGAGUUAUUGUGAAGUAGUUAGAAUGUGUGGUGUAGCGGUGAAAUGCAUAGAGAUCACACAGAAUACCGAUUGCGAAGGCAGAUUACUAACAAUAUACUGACGCUGAGGGACGAAAGCGUGGGUAGCGAACAGGAUUAGAUACCCUGGUAGUCCACGCCGUAAACGAUGGAUACUAGCUGUUCGACCAACAUUGGUUGGUUGAGUGGCUAAGCGAAAGUGAUAAGUAUCCACCU
rnacentral:rRNA from 1 species